GACGAACGCUGGCGGCGUGCUUAACACAUGCAAGUCGAACGGAAAGGCCCUGCUUUUGUGGGGUGCUCGAGUGGCGAACGGGUGAGUAACACGUGAGUAACCUGCCCUUGACUUUGGGAUAACUUCAGGAAACUGGGGCUAAUACCGGAUAGGAGCUCCUGCUGCAUGGUGGGGGUUGGAAAGUUUCGGCGGUUGGGGAUGGACUCGCGGCUUAUCAGCUUGUUGGUGGGGUAGUGGCUUACCAAGGCUUUGACGGGUAGCCGGCCUGAGAGGGUGACCGGCCACAUUGGGACUGGGAUACGGCCCAGACUCCUACGGGAGGCAGCAGUGGGGAAUAUUGCACAAUGGGCGGAAGCCUGAUGCAGCAACGCCGCGUGCGGGAUGACGGCCUUCGGGUUGUAAACCGCUUUCGCCUGUGACGAAGCGUGAGUGACGGUAAUGUGUAAAGAAGCACCGGCUAACUACGUG
rnacentral:rRNA from 1 species